GCUUUAUAACUUGCAAUUGCACGUUUAUAUCAAACAAUUCUGAGGAAAAAAAGUCAGAAUUGCGAGAUAUAAACUCUAAAUUAUGAGGGGGGGGAAAUCUGUGAGUUAAUAUCUAGUAUUUGUGACUAUAUUCAUCAGAAUUGCGAGUUUAUAUCUCACAAUUAUGACUUUUUAACUCGCAAUUUUGAGAUGAAGAAAACAUAGUUUUAUGAGUUUGUAUAACGGAAUUAUGAGGGGAAAAAAGUCAGAAUUGUUAUAUAAAAAGUCGCAAUUGCCAUUUAAAUUUUUUUUUAUACGUAAUGACGUACAUCCGAGUUCAUGGGUGAUGGAGGAAAGUCAAAAAGAGACAAAAGGAGUGAUAUUUUGGCGGAAAUGAUUUUAAGUCAGAAUAGUUUUAUUACUGCAGUACCGUUAUCAGUAAUGCCCCAUUGGAUGUUUCCUGCAGUUUUCAUAGAUUUCAAUUUGCUGGAGUUAAUGAAAGAAUCUGAAAACAUUGUAGCUGUUGUUGAAGAUAGACUACAAAAUGUAUACCAAGCAUUUGCUCCAGUGUAUACUGAUGGAUCUAAAGAAAGGUUGAAAGGUUAUACGCUGGUACACACUCACACACUCCAAUACUGUAGGUGGCGAUAAUACACCUAACUUUGGUGCUACCCACCAUAAAACCGAAGAAGAAGAAGAUAUUUUGACGCGGAAUGCAGCGCUGGUAAACUUUACUCUAGCGUCUGAUAAUUAUUUUGUGUUGCUCUGCACGCCAUCAUAACAUUUCGCCAGCACUGCAGUCACGCAGUCUGUUUUUGUUUCCUAACCGCGCUGGCUGCAUAUGCUCAGGUAAUAAAUUUCCCAUGAGUCGGGAUACACACUGCAUUCAGUUUAUCUGACUCUCCAGUCAGAAUGUGUCUGUGUGACCAGUGUAUCAGAAAUACAGCUGCAGAACUGACUGUGCAUCCAGACUGUUGAUCCCCGUGAACCAGAUGCCCAGUUCAUCCUUGGCUGCGAAAGCAGGACAUGGACAGUCAUGAAGAAAUCCAAUCAGCCUAGAAACCAUGCAGUUAAUACCAAGAGAGAGAAUAUGAGAGGCUGUGUUUGGAAUGGCAUACUUACUGAAUACUAGUAGUACGCAGAGAUUUAAAUAGUAUGUGUUUGCAUUUUAAAUCCAAUUUUCAGAUUAAAAAAAUGGGAUAGUUCUUAUGGAAAUGUCUUAAUGGGAUAGUUCACCCAAAAAUGACAUUUCUGUCUUAAGAGUGGUUCCAAACCUGUAUGAGAUUGUUCCUUUUAAAGAACAAAAAGAGGAUGAAGAACACUGGAGUCAAAAACAUUUAUUAAUUUAUUUAUCAAUAUAUAUCUUUGGUGUUCAACAGAAGAAAAAAAAAGAAUGGGAAUUUUUGGUUAAUUAUUUUUCACUCAUUUUUACAUUGCUUGAUUGACUUUAUAUUAAAUAUAUAUUUAAUAUAUUGAAUAUACUGUAUUUUAUAAAGUCAAUAAAGGGAUGUUAAGAAAUAGCUAAUAGUGAGGUUUGUUUCUUUUUUAAUUAUUUGUUAAAAUUGUUUCAAAAUGAAUCCUGCACUAGUUUUAUCAACAUAUUUGUAGACUGAUGUGAAUUUCGUCUCAGGUAUUCACAAGGCAAGUAAGUCUGUUUCCAGGUACAGUAUUCAGGACUGCAGUGAUAAAAAAAACUGUCAGGUGUAUAGUGAGGGUGGGUGUGGGAAAAUGUGCUUAUCUUGAGACAGAAAAUGGAAAAUCAUGCUAAAUGUAAAAAAAGAAAAGAAAAGAAAAAAUAUUAGUGAUGUAAAAUGAUAAAUUGCGAAGUUUUUGUUUACAUAAUGUGUUUGUGCUAUAUAUAGUUAUUAUGCAUAUA